AUAAAACAAACUUACUAUAUAAGGGCUGUAGAAGAUGAUAUA
rnacentral:guide_RNA from 1 species